GACCCCAAGCUCUUCUCAUUUUCUGUUUACCCUGCUCGCUGGCUGGUGGGGUGAUGUCUGUGAGUGAGUCUUGUGGGUUUUGGACAUUGAUGGACACCCCUAAGCCCUACUUCCCAGACCCUGCCCCAGCCCCCCAGCCCCAGGAGUGGGUGCGUUUGCAGUAGGGCUUUGGGAAUGGGGCUGUGUCACUGUGGGCGUAGCAGCUAGUACUACUACAAUAUCCUCACAGUGACAUGAGCCCCCACAAAAUCCUCCUAUCCCUGCAGGUGUCACCGAGCCCCCUCUUGCUGGCUCUUGCAUGGCUCUCCUGCUGAGACUGUGCAUUCCAGCGGGUUGUUGUCUGAAACUCAGGGUGUCUUGGAGAGGACUCUGAGCCCAGUGCUGUACAGGGGGCUCCUCCUUUGUCCUGGGGGAGUUGCGUCGACCCUGUUUUUGGUCAAGGGGAGCGCUUGCUGGUGAAGGAGACCUCCCCUCCUCUCUUUC
rnacentral:lncRNA from 1 species